rnacentral:rRNA from 1 species
GACGAACGCUGGCGGCGUGCUUAACACAUGCAAGUCGAACGGAAAGGCCCUGCUUUUGUGGGGUGCUCGAGUGGCGAACGGGUGAGUAACACGUAAGUAACCUGCCCUUGACUUUGGGAUAACGUCAGGAAACUGGGGCUAAUACCGGAUAGGAGCUCCUGCUGCAUGGUGGGGGUUGGAAAGUUUCGGCGGUUGGGGAUGGACUCGCGGCUUAUCAGCUUGUUGGUGGGGUAGUGGCUUACCAAGGCUUUGACGGGUAGCCGGCCUGAGAGGGUGACCGGCCACAUUGGGACUGAGAUACGGCCCAGACUCCUACGGGAGGCAGCAGUGGGGAAUAUUGCACAAUGGGCGGAAGCCCGAUGCAGCAACGCCGCGUGCGGGAUGACGGCCUUCGGGUUGUAAACCGCUUUCGCCUGUGACGAAGCGUGAGUGACGGUAAUGGGUAAAGAAGCACCGGCUAACUACGUGCCAGCAGCCGCGGUGAUACGUAGGGUGCGAGCGUUGUCCGGAUUUAUUGGGCGUAAAGGGCUCGUAGGUGGUUGAUCGCGUCGGAAGUGUAAUCUUGGGGCUUAACCCUGAGCGUGCUUUCGAUACGGGUUGACUUGAGGAAGGUAGGGGAGAAUGGAAUUCCUGGUGGAGCGGUGGAAUGCGCAGAUAUCAGGAGGAACACCAGUGGCGAAGGCGGUUCUCUGGGCCUUUCCUGACGCUGAGGAGCGAAAGCGUGGGGAGCGAACAGGCUUAGAUACCCUGGUAGUCCACGCUGUAAACGGUGGGUACUAGGUGUGGGGUCCAUUCCACGGGUUCCGUGCCGUAGCUAACGCUUUAAGUACCCCGCCUGGGGAGUACGGCCGCAAGGCUAAAACUCAAAGGAAUUGACGGGGCCCCGCACAAGCGGCGGAGCAUGCGGAUUAAUUCGAUGCAACGCGUAGAACCUUACCUGGGUUUGACAUGGAUCGGGAGUGCUCAGAGAUGGGUGUGCCUCUUUUGGGGUCGGUUCACAGGUGGUGCAUGGCUGUCGUCAGCUCGUGUCGUGAGAUGUUGGGUUAAGUCCCGCAACGAGCGCAACCCUUGUUCACUGUUGCCAGCACGUUAUGGUGGGGACUCAGUGGAGACCGCCGGGGUCAACUCGGAGGAAGGUGGGGAUGACGUCAGGUCAUCAUGCCCCUUAUGUCCAGGGCUUCACGCAUGCUACAAUGGCUGGUACAGAGAGUGGCGAGCCUGUGAGGGUGAGCGAAUCUCGGAAAGCCGGUCUCAGUUCGGAUUGGGGUCUGCAACUCGACCUCAUGAAGUCGGAGUCGCUAGUAAUCGCAGAUCAGCAACGCUGCGGUGAAUACGUUCCCGGG